rnacentral:rRNA from 1 species
CUGGAGGUAUCAGAAGUGCGAAUGCUGACAUAAGUAACGAUAAAGCGGGUGAAAAGCCCGCUCGCCGGAAGACCAAGGGUUCCUGUCCAACGUUAAUCGGGGCAGGGUGAGUCGACCCCUAAGGCGAGGCCGAAAGGCGUAGUCGAUGGGAAACGGGUUAAUAUUCCCGUACUUGGUGUUACUGCGAAGGGGGGACGGAGAAGGCUAUGUUGGCCGGGCGACGGUUGUCCCGGUUUAAGCGUGUAGGCUGGUUUUCCAGGCAAAUCCGGAAAAUCAAGGCUGAGGCGUGACGACGAGGCACUACGGUGCUGAAGCAACAAAUGCCCUGCUUCCAGGAA